ACGCUCGACACCUACGGGGGCAGCAGUGGGGAAUAUUGCACAAUGGGGGGAACCCUGAUGCAGCGACGCCGCGUGAGGGAAGAAGGUUUUCGGAUUGUAAACCUCUGUCCUUGGUGACGAUAAUGACGGUAGCCAAGGAGGAAGCCACGGCUAACUACGUGCCAGCAGCCGNGGUAAUCUGAGCGGGCUGGCAAGGC
rnacentral:rRNA from 1 species